CAAAAUUUAAUUCUUUUUCAGCUUUAUUGCGUCUACUUCGAAGGUUUCAAGUUUCAGUCUGUGUCAGUUAACUCUAGAUCUAGUUGUUACCAUUUCACUACAAGUAGGCGGAGCUUAAGCGACCUCAUUUAUAGAAAAGGCGAGAUGGGUGGGGGAAAAAUAGAGGGAGAAAACUCUAUGCACAAAUGAAUUAGAUCUAGGAACAAGCUUACAAGCUGAUACUCUAAGCCUUUGAGCCCUAUGUUUUGUAAACAUGGCAAACUUGGGCAGAUUAGUUCGUAGUCGACCAUUCUUGCAAACUGUAAUAACAGACUAUGUCAAAUGUGUUGUGUAUUCCAAACAAGAUGAAUUGUUAUCCAAGAAAAUUCAUCAUAGGGCCUUCAGUGAUUAUCCAUCUGCAUUCAAAGAGGCUCUAGAAAAGCCUGAAGAUUUUUGGUCUGCUGCAGCGGCUAACAUCGACUGGAUUAAAAAAUGGGACAAUGUUUUGGACACAAAGAAUUCCCCUUUUACAAGAUGGUUUGUAGGAGGGGAGCUAAACACUUGCUACAAUGCACUCGAUCGUCACAUUAAACAAGGCCGUGGAGAUCAGGCAGCCAUUAUCUAUGACAGCCCUGUCACAAAAAGUACCAAGACAAUUACCUACAAGGGUCUCCUGAAACAGGUGCAAGACUUUGCUGGGGCCUUGAAAGCUUUAGGCGUGAACAAGGGAGAUAAAGUGCUGAUAUAUAUGCCCAUGAUUCCAGAAGCUAUAGUUGCCAUGCUAGCUUGUGCUAGAAUAGGAGCUAUUCACUCUCUUGUGUUUGGAGGUUUUGCUGCCCGAGAACUGUCCACCAGAAUAGCCCAUGCUGAACCAAAAGUUAUUGUUAGUGCCAACUGCGGUGUAGAACCAACUAGAACAGUUCCUUAUAAACCUAUGCUGGACGAAGCCUUGAAGAUCAUUAACUACAAGCCCAACAAGUGUAUUAUAUUUAACAGAGACAAUUUUGAUAAAGCUGUGUUAAACAAAGGUCAGGAUAUAGACUGGAAUGAUGCUGUUGCAUUGGGUAAACCAGCAGAUUGCGUUCCAGUUGCAGCCGUUGAUCCAUUGUACAUAUUAUACACUUCAGGCACAACAGGGAUACCAAAGGCAGUUGUACGGCCUAGUGGUGGACAUGCAGUAGCCUUAAGUUGGUCAAUCUCCAAUGUGUAUGGCAUGAAACCUGGCCAGGUGUGGUGGGCAGCAAGUGACCUCGGAUGGGUGGUUGGACAUUCAUUCAUCACCUACGCUCCACUGAUCCAUGGAUUGACUACUGUACUUUAUGAGGGUAAACCAGUUGGAACUCCUGACCCCGGAGCUUUUUUUCGCGUUAUCCAACAACAUCAGGUAUCUGCCAUGUUUGUUGCGCCCACAGCCUUGAGAGCCAUACGAGCAGAAGAUGAAGAAGGUAGCUUUGCCAAACCUUAUUUGCCUUUAGAUAAGUUUGAAGCUCUGUUUGUUGCUGGUGAGCACUGUGACCACGAGACCAUGCAUUGGAUUCAGGAACUUAUCAAAAAGCCAAUCUUGGACAACUGGUGGCAGACAGAAACUGGCUGGCCAAUGACAGCAACCUGCAGAGGUUUAGCAAUGAACCUCUAUCCUCUGCCAGGAACAACUGGUAAACCUGUGCCAGGAUGGAAUGUCAAGGUGUUAAGAGCUAAUGGUGAAGAAACCAAUCCAGGAGAGCUAGGACAAAUCUAUGUCAAAGAACCACUACCACCUGGCUUUAUGUCAACAAUGUACAAAAAUGAGAAAAUGUUUGCAGAGACAUACUUCACUAAAUUACCAGGUCACUAUGAUACAAUGGAUUCUGGCAUCAGAGAUAAAGACGGCUACAUCUCAGUUCUGUCGCGCAGUGAUGAUGUCAUCAACGUGGCUGGCCACAGGCUAUCUUGUGGCUCUAUAGAGGAGGCUAUCUUAGAAUGUUUAGAUGUGGUGGAGGCAGCGGUGGUAGGUGUGCCUGACAAAUUGAAAGGAAGUGUACCGCUAGGACUUUGUGUGCUAAAACAUGGGUGCCAUCAUACAGAGGACAGUAUUAAACAGGAAGUCAUCAAACAAGUUCGUACACUCAUUGGUCCCGUAGCAGCUUUCAAAAUGGUAGUCAUUGUGCCUAAACUGCCCAAAACUAGAUCAGGGAAAGUUGCCCGUAACACUAUUGCAGCUUUAGCAGCUGGGAAACCUUUCAAAAUUCCAGUUACUAUAGAUGAUCCAACUGUCUAUCCAGCCAUCCAGGAAAGACUUCAGGCUAUAGGAUAUGCUCAGGGAAAACUAAACGUACAGACAUAAUUUUACUGUGUCAUUCUAUUUUGUUAUUGUUUAACUAGUUUAAUAAGGGCUUUUAUCCAUUUAUUAUAUCUAUGUGUGCAGUACCUUUACCAUAUUAUAUUAUAAUAAAUCUAUACCAAGACAGGGUUUCUGCAUAAUAGGGUAGAAUAAUUUUUAAAUGUAUUUAUGUAAGUUACAUAUACUCGUCAUAUAUUUUAAUAUGUAGUAGAAUGUGUGGUAUUGUGAUAUAAACUGCUUGACUAUUGGAUAGAAAGGGCUAACAUUUCAAGUUGUAGACUUGAAAUUUACCUUUGUAGAUUUAACUUGAGCUGAGUUGUGUUUGCUGAGCUCCUAAAGGCAGCAUGGAAACCUUUUUUUGCUAGAUUCUCUUCCCUCUUAUUCGAAGUGUCCAAAAAGGUUUGAGAUUUCUACCUUUUAGGAACCUUUGGAUUCUCACCCAUGGCCAGGAUAAAGGAUUGGCUCUUCACAGACCCCUGUCCUGAAGGUCCCGGUUCCCCCCCCCCCCCCCCCACUAGAUCAUUAUUUAAUCACAUCCGUUAGUUUAUGGGUCACUGUCCCUUCCCCUCUACAUGUCCGUAACAAAGAUUGGACCAAAGCAUACUAUAAAUCAUGGACGACGAUCUAUACAAAAGCAAUAGCUUGAUUUCAUAUUUGUUUUUCAUACAUAUAUUAACUUUUUUUUUUUCUUUAUUUACACCUAAAAAUAUUAAGUUGUAUUGAUUAUGCAAAGCAACACUGACCAAUUUUGGUAAAAGCUUAUACUUUUUUUUCUGCAUGCUGCUUCAGUUAUAACGUCUGCGAAUAUAAUGUAUUUGUAAUUUAAUGAAUUUAUAUUUUACUUUAAAGAAAUCAGCCUGUAUGACAUGAAAGCCUUAUAUCAUCCUUUCAACUAGGUAGGCCUACUUAUCAUGUAAGUGUAGCUUAUAGAAUGUAUAACAGACUAUUUCAUAUAACAAUUGUUUUCUCUUUGGGUAUGGGUGAUUAGUAAAUGAUUGUUUGAUUGAAUGAUUGUAUCAUAAAGUAGGUUGUUCAUGUGGUCAACUACAACGAAGUAAUGACACUGAUGUGUUAAAUCUGAGCACCAAGUUAGCAUUAGAAAUAGUGUAAAAAAGAAACUGUUUUAUGGAUGUUAUGAACUUGUUUGCUCAAUUUGCUAAACCUGCUCAAUUAUCACAAGUGCCUAACACUGCCCUGGGGGAAAAAAAAUCAUUUCUUGAUCUUUAACAUGACUUUAAAAAGAGGUUAAGGAAAAAUGAAGCUACUGAUAGAGUGCUUAGAAAUUGAAACCAAAGGUCAGUGGCUUAGCUAGGGUGGGAUUGGGGGGGGGGGGGGGAGGGUCCAAAUUCGAAAGUCCCUAGGCCCCAAAAAGAAUGGCCUAAUUUUUUUUUACAUUAAAUAUUACGCCAAUGCCAUGAAUCUUGCUAUUCACAUAGAGUCAUAAUACUAGACAGCAUUGAUCUAGAUUAUUCUAGAUGAUGUUAUAGGUGCCUGCACAGAAAUCACAACGCGAGGCGAUAUGAAUUGGAAUUUGUCACUUGUGCAUUAUCUCGCCAAUGAACAACAGUAGUAUUCAUUAAAAUAGUCUUGAUGAUUUUUUUGUUAAUUUUACGUAUAAACUGUACUGAUUGGAAUUUAGACUUGUAUAUUUAUCAAGUACAUUAUCUGAUGUCGAAAUGCAAGGGCUCAUAAAAAAAAGGUCAAGCCCCCCCUCCUCCCCCUUCCCAAAUCCCUAGCUACGCCACUGCCAAAGGUCUUUUGAAACAUGCUGCUUUGACAAUGAAGCCUAGUGACAUUUAAUGCAUUUCUCAAGGCUCUGAGAAAACAAUAAACCCAGGUAAACCAAGGUGUUUCUUGUUUGUUCUUGUAUGGACAUUAAAAUAAAACUGGUUAAAUGUGCAGCAAGUUGUCAGUUUUAAGGGACAAGAUUGUUUUGUUUUUUAAAAUUCUUAUCCUAUAAUUUAUAUAUUUCCCUUCAAAAGAGAAGAUAAUUAUGUCCUACUUGUAUUCAUGUAGUAGUCAAGUUGUGCAUGUUAAUCUUAAACAAGUCAUUGGUUUUCUUGGCCGACUCAGUUCCAUUUUUUUAUAAGGCUAGGGAAGAUGGGGCCACUUGUAUGACUUUGUCCUUGCAUAUGGAAUAAGUAAUUUACUUUUAGCUUUGUGUCUUUAUGAUUAUUUUAUAAGGUUUUGUAUUUGUAAAUUAUGUAUUAUGUAAAUUUGUGUAUAUUACUUUACUUUUUAAUCUUGAAGUGUCUCUUAAGUUUAAUUAUUUCAAUAUUUGUGUGUUAGUAGAGCAAUGUACAGUACACAGAUGCCUACAUGGAAAUGUGUAUUUUGAGGGGCAAAUGUGUAUUUUCAUAAAUCAAGAAAUAUACUCAGGAAAGACUCAAAUCGUUCUAGCACAUAACAUAUAGGAAAGGCAGCAAUCCAGAAAAUGAACACAGCAUUAAGUUAUAUAAGACAUUGUGUACAUUUUUUAGAAUAUUUACAGAUUUAGUCUUUGUUAUAGACUGUUCUAGAAUAUGUUAGAAUGUUCUUCUUGUCACUUGGCAAUGAUUUUAUGAUCGUAAUGCCUCUAGUAUUUCAUUCCUGAUGCCAUAAUUGCACCAACAGAAAAUUAAUUCAAAAGAAUGGGACUUUAUUCUAGAAGUGAAUCUAGACUUGGCAAUGGUUUGCUUGGCUGGAUCGGUGACAUCUAGUUUUGUUGAUGGGCGAUUUCUUUACAAGGUAUGCAGACACAAGAAAUAUUUUAUCACAUUUUGAAAGAAUUCAGAUUUUCUUCUUUCUGACCAUUCUUUGCAGAGUCAGCAAUGAAAGUUUUGACAUCCUCUACAAUUGUUAAAAAAAAAAAAUUAAAGAUUUGUUUUCAGACAGAUAAUCCUUACUAGUCAUUGAACUUCUAAUAUAGAAGCUGGGCUCAGCUAUUGAGUCUGCUGAAUAAAUAAACUCCCCGGCUGUUGUAAGAUAAAGUUUUUUUUUUACAAAACUUGUUAAGUAGGAAUCAAGAAUUUAAUCCUUUUUUUUUUCAGCAUAAGCAAAAGCUUUUCUAUUGUUACCAAACUCGGCCUUCAAUGUCCCUGAUUUUCUCAUUCUUUCAAUUAAAUCUUUCAUAAUCACCGGUAAUGAUAGCUUCGGAUCUGAAUACUUUCUGUAACUUUAGAGUCAUGGCGCAUCCUUUUGAUUCCCUUUGUCAUGCUAAGAGAGAUUAAUCACCAUUCCUCGUUCCAUAUGCUAGGACAAAUUUGUACAAAUGCUCCUUCUUCCCUAGUGCUAUUAGAGCAUGGAAUGGGUUGUCUGAGCUAGCCAGGAAAACCAGUGACUUGGCAGAAUUUAAGUCAUUGGUUAAUAUGCAUGACUGAAUGCAUGACGCGUAGGACGUAAUCAUCUUUUUUGAAGUAACGUCUGUAUUUUAUAAGAUAAGAUUAAAACCUCUGCCCUUCUCACUUUCAUCACCUGAAUUUGGUGGUUUACAAAAAAUCGAAUCUUGAUCUAGAUAUUAGAGACAGCUCUAUGCAAAGUAUUUUAAAAGGAUCAUUUCAUCUCUCGGGUCGCGGUCUCUCCCACAUGCCCAGACAAAAGCAAUAAUACUAACCUUGGCUAUAGGUGGCAUUCGUUUUUGUUUUUCAGACAUGUAUUCACAUUUUGUUAUGUUUUUAUUUACGCCAGAAGUAUUAAGUUGUUUUGAAUAUGCGUAGCAACACUGACCAAUUUUGUUUAAAGUUGGUUUUUUUUUUUUGCGAGGAUGUAAUUUUAUGCAAAUUACAUUGUGUCAAGUCUAAUGAUAAGCGAUAUAGGCUACAUAUGAAGAGAGUCUAUGAAAUGUGAAUGUGUUGUACAGCUGGAUAGCCCUCAGGAUUUUCCUUUAAGAUUAUGUCUGAUACAAAUCUGGUUUGAAUGUUCAGUUUUUUUGUUUUUGAAACAAUCCAGCAGGCAAAUAAAAAAAACCCAUCUCAGAUCAGUUGUAAAUCAAGACUGUUCAGGCUGAACCAUCUUCCUUUUUUUUUAGUAACUUCUGUAUUUUAUAAGAUAUUUUAUAACUUUAUUACUAGGGUGUUUUGUUUCGGAUGUUAUUUGGAAUGGAAGAUUAUUACACCCUUUAUUGGUCUAUAGUCUAUACCAUCCCGAGAGCAUACCAGACAAACAUCCUAACUCAACUAAACAUUAACUUAUAACCCUAACCAAAAUGAUACCAGCUUAAAGAAAGAUUCUCUUUUGGUUCAUAGGCGAACAUUUUUUUGUACUUUGAAAGAAACCUUUCAACCUCAUUACAAGCAUCAAUAGUUUUAAAAUUAUGUAGUUUUUGUGUGUGUGUGUGUAACUCUUAAAGAAUAAUCUCUGUUAUUAAAUUAGCUUUUUAUGUGAUUACUACUUUUUAAUUAACCAUCUCAAUGUGUGUUCUUGUUGAACUGAAUCAACAUACAAACCAAUGAGAUCUUUGAGUUGAACUGAAUCAACAUACAAACCAAUGAGAUCUUUUGAGUUGUCCACUCUAUCUAUGUAAUAUAAACUGUUGUACUUUUAAAAUAUGCUGGUUGUGUGCAUUGUUUUUACUUGUGAUUCAUUUACCUUUGUUAAUUGGUUGUUAGUGAUAUGGUUGAUUUCUAAUUAGAAAUAUCACAUUGCAUAAACUUUUUGUUUCAAGACUAUGCAAAUAUAAAAAAAAAGUUGGCAAUUUUUUUUUGGGCUCUCAUAUAUUUGCAUUAAGGCUCAACAAUUGUUUUGUCAUAGAAUUUAUUAUCUUUGCAUUCCUUAAUCAAAUGCAACUUUACCAGCAUACUAUUCUCCAGUAGAAUUUUCUUGCAUACAUGUUGUUUUUUUAUUCAAUCUUUUGAAAGUGUUUUUGUGUGUGUGUGCCUAUUAUCAGAGUAUUACCAGGUUUACAAUGUAUAGUUUUAAAAGUAAAAAAUGUUGUAAUAAUAUUCUUUUAUUGAAGGGUUGUUUAAAAUAAACAAAAAAAUGUA